rnacentral:lncRNA from 1 species
UUGUAGCAUGCAUCUGCCAUGGCCACAAUCUGGGCCAUCUAGAAGGAGAUAAACUAUUGUAUUUUGGUAAGCCUGCAGUGGCUACAAAGACUUCCAAGCCUAUUCUGGCCAUACUUCGCGAGUAACUGGCAGGCCAUCCCAUCCUCGAAGCCAGCUUCCACUGUGAGAUCUAGCCUUUAGAAGCCACCUAUCCAUUGGAUCGUUAAAAUUAACAUAGAUCGCUGCUCGCUUGGUAAACCUUGCUUCCCAACACUUUUUUUUUUUUAAUUUGUUAAACUUUCUAUUAAGUUAAAGAGCUAUACGGUAUGCAAAAAAUUCUGCCCUUGAGGGGAAAGAGGGGAAAGAGAGUGGCCAGAGAUAGGCCAGGUCAAAAACUGUAAUACAAGCAAAAAAUUGCAUCGCUUCUAAAAGAGCCAAAGUAAAAGGUCUUCUAUGAUAGAGCUUGAGAAGCACCCUCCUUAGUCAGAGCGUCGGCCACCAGAUUGCCCUCCCGCCAAGUAUCUGUCCAUGAGAUCUGAAUAUGCCUUCGAAUAUUAAAAAUCUCGUCAAAGAUAGCUGUGAAUCUCCGAGGAGUAGCCUUGCGUGAGGCCCAAGAGAUGACAUUUCUAGUGUCACUCUCCACAACCAAGACUAAGCUCUAGGAGUAAUCGAAGAGUUUGAGGUGUAGAACGUUGCCCCCCAACAUUUGGAUCUACCUAUCGAGAUUUCCAGGGUCAAAUACUGCUCACCAUCUCAGGGCACACAGGCAUAGUUAACUUUACAAUGGCCCAAAAUAUUCCCCCUUCUCAAAGGGCGAAAGAGAUUCGAUCUGAUCUGGGAUAACUUACUAGUUAAACUCAGGAAAAGUGAUGAGCGCUUCAAGGUAUGGUCAUUGGUCGUGGAGACUUAAACCCGUUUUCUAUAACAUUUUUUACCUCUGUGGGCCCCAACAUGGAAUUUUCGCAGACAUCUAGGGUGAGGUUAAUGCGGAUUCAUUAGCCAAAGAAGGGGUUGCAGGCACAAACAUUG